AGAGUUUGAUCAUGGCUCAGGACGAACGCUGGCGGCGUGCCUAACACAUGCAAGUCGAACGCCCUCGACCUUCGGGUCACAUGAGGGAGUGGCGAACGGGUGAGUAACACGUGAGAAACCUACCCCGAAGACCGGGAUAACCAAGGGAAACUCUGGCUAAUACCGGAUACCCUCAUCACACCGCAUGGUGAGAUGAGGAAAUGUCUUUUCGCUUCGGGAGGGUCUCGCGACCUAUCAGUUAGUUGGUGAGGUAACGGCUCACCAAGACAUCGACGGGUAGCUGGUCUGAGAGGACGAUCAGCCACACUGGGACUGAGACACGGCCCAGACUCCUACGGGAGGCAGCAGUGGGGAAUAUUGCGCAAUGGGCGAAAGCCUGACGCAGCAACGCCGCGUGCGGGAUGACGGCCUUCGGGUUGUAAACCGCUUUCAGCAGGGACGAAAAUGACGGUACCUGCAGAAGAAGCUCCGGCUAACUACGUGCCAGCAGCCGCGGUAAUACGUAGGGAGCAAGCGUUGUCCGGAUUUAUUGGGCGUAAAGGGCUCGUAGGCGGUUCAGUAAGUCGGAUGUGAAAAAUCUGGGCUCAACCCAGUCAAGCAUCCGAUACUGCUGUGACUAGAGUUCGGUAGAGGAGUGUGGAAUUCCUGGUGUAGCGGUGGAAUGCGCAGAUAUCAGGAGGAACACCAACAGCGAAGGC
rnacentral:rRNA from 1 species